GAUGAACGCUGGCGGUAUGCUUAACACAUGCAAGUCGAACGGAAUCUUUCGGGAUUUAGUGGCGGACGGGUGAGUAACGCGUGAGAAUCUGGCUUCAGGUCUGGGACAACCACUGGAAACGGUGGCUAAUACCGGAUGUGCCGAGAGGUGAAAGGUUAACUGCCUGAAGAUGAGCUCGCGUCUGAUUAGCUAGUUGGAAGUGUAAUGGACUCCCAAGGCGACGAUCAGUAGCUGGUCUGAGAGGACGAUCAGCCACACUGGGACUGAGACACGGCCCAGACUCCUACGGGAGGCAGCAGUGGGGAAUUUUCCGCAAUGGGCGAAAGCCUGACGGAGCAAUACCGCGUGAGGGAGGAAGGCUCUUGGGUCGUAAACCUCUUUUCUCAAGGAAGAACACAAUGACGGUACUUGAGGAAUAAGCAUCGGCUAACUCCGUGCCAGCAGCCGCGGUAAUACGGAGGAUGCAAGCGUUAUCCGGAAUGAUUGGGCGUAAAGCGUCCGCAGGUGGCAAUGUAAGUCUGCUGUUAAAGAGUCUAGCUCAACUAGAUAAGAGCAGUGGAAACUACAUAGCUAGAGUACGUUCGGGGCAGAGGGAAUUCCUGGUGUAGCGGUGAAAUGCGUAGAGAUCAGGAAGAACACCGGUGGCGAAGGCGCUCUGCUAGGCCGUAACUGACACUGAGGGACGAAAGCUAGGGGAGCGAAUGGGAUUAGAUACCCCAGUAGUCCUAGCCGUAAACGAUGGAUACUAGGCGUGGCUUGUAUCGACCCGAGCCGUGCCGUAGCUAACGCGUUAAGUAUCCCGCCUGGGGAGUACGCCGGCAACGGUGAAACUCAAAGGAAUUGACGGGGGCCCGCACAAGCGGUGGAGUAUGUGGUUUAAUUCGAUGCAACGCGAAGAACCUUACCAAGGCUUGACAUGUCGCGAAUCUUUCUGAAAGGAGAGAGUGCCUUCGGGAGCGCGAACACAGGUGGUGCAUGGCUGUCGUCAGCUCGUGUCGUGAGAUGUUGGGUUAAGUCCCGCAACGAGCGCAACCCUCGUUUUUAGUUGCCGGCAUUAAGUUGGGCACUCUAGAGAGACUGCCGGUGACAAACCGGAGGAAGGUGGGGAUGACGUCAAGUCAGCAUGCCCCUUACGCCUUGGGCUACACACGUACUACAAUGCUCCGGACAGAGGGCAGCAAGCAUGCGAAUGCAAGCAAAUCCCGGAAACCGGAGCUCAGUUCAGAUCGCAGGCUGCAACUCGCCUGCGUGAAGGAGGAAUCGCUAGUAAUUGCAGGUCAGCAUACUGCAGUGAAUUCGUUCCCGGGCCUUGUACACACCGCCCGUCACACCAUGGAAGCUGGUAGUGCCCGAAGUCAUUACUCCAACCUUUCGGGGAGGAGGAUGCCUAAGGCAGGACUGGUGACUGGGGUGAA
rnacentral:rRNA from 1 species